ACACCGGUUGAUCCUGCCGGACCUGACUGCUAUUGGAGUAGGACUAAGUCACGCUAGUUAAAGGUGCGGAAUGGAGCACCUGGCGUACGGCUCAGUAACACGUAGUCAACCUACCCUAAGGACGAGGACAACCACGGGAAACUGUGGAUAAUACUCGAUAAGAAAUUCGGCCUGGAACGGUGUCUUUCACAAAACCGACCCGCCGUGGGAUACGGGCCUUAGGAUGGGGCUGCGGCCGAUUAUGCUAGAUGGCGGUGUAAAGGACCACCAUGGCUGCGAUCGGUAUGGGCGAUGGAAGUCGGAGCCCAGAGUCGGCUACUGAGACAAGGAGCCGAGCUUUACGAAGCUUAGCGGUCGCGAAAACUCGCCAAUGCACGAAAGUGUGAGUGGGCUACUCCAAGUGUCAUUCUUACGGAUGACUGUCGCUCAGUCUUACCAGCUGAGAAAGGAAGGAGAGGGCAAGGCUGGUGCCAGCCGCCGCGGUAAAACCAGCUCUUCGAGUGGUCAGGACGAAUAUUGGGUCUAAAGCGCUCGUAGCCGGACAAGUAGGUUCCUGGUUAAACCCGACAGCAUAACUGUUGGCCUGCUGGGAAUACCGCUAGUCUUGGAAGCGGGAGAGGACAGAGGUAGUCAUAGGGCAGGGGUGAAAUCCAGUGAUCCUAUGGCGACCACCGAUGGCGAAGGCAUCUGUCUGGAACGUAUUCGACGGUGAGGGGCGAAAGCCAGGGGAGCGACCCGGAUUAGAUACCCGGUUAGUCCUGGCCGUAAACGAUGCGGACUAGGUGUUACAACAGCCAAGAGCCGUUGUAGUGCCACAGCGAAGGCGUUAAGUCCGCCACCUGGGGAGUACGGAUGCAAAUCUGAAACUUAAAGGAAUUGACGGGGGCGCACCACCAGGAGUGAAGCCUGCGGUUUAAUUGGAUUCAACGCCGGAAAACUCACCUGAACAGACGAUAGAAUGAAGCUCAAGCUAAUGACUUUAGCUAACUAAUCGAGAGGAAGUGCAUGGCCGUCGACAGUUCGUGCUGUGAAGUGUCCUGUUAAGUCAGGCAACGAACGAGAUCCACGUCCGCAAUUGCCAGCGGGUCCCUUUGGGAUGCCGGGAACCUUGCGGAGACUGCUCGGUGCUAAACCAGAGGAAGGAGUGGGCAACGGCAGGUCAGUAUGCUCCGAUAGUUCAGGGCUACACGCGGGCUGCAAUGGUCGGUACAAUGGGCUGCAACCCCGAAAGGGGAAGCCAAUCCCGAAAGCCGGUCUCAGUCAGGAUCGCGGUUUGCAACUCAACCGCGUGAAUAUGGAAUUCCUAGUAAUCGUGUUUCAUCAAGACACGGUGAAUACGUCCCCGCGCCUUGUACACACCGCCCGUCGUUGCAACCAACCGCAUGGUGGUUGAGGUGGCUGAUUUAAUGCGGCUAUCAAUACUGCUGUGUAUGAGGAGGCAAAAGUCGUAACAAGGUAGCCGUAGGGGAACCUGCGGCUGGAUCACCUCCU
rnacentral:rRNA from 1 species